AUACGGAGGGUCCAAGCGUUAUCCGGAAUCAUUGGGUUUAAAGGGUCCGCAGGCGGUCAAUUAAGUCAGAGGUGAAAGCCCAACGCUCAACGAUGGAACUGCCUUUGAUACUGGUUGACUUGAGUUAUACGGAAGUAGAUAGAAUAAGUAAUGUAGCGGUGAAAUGCAUAGAUAUUACUUAGAAUACCGAUUGCGAAGGCAGUCUACUACGUAUAUACUGACGCUGAGGGACGAAAGCGUGGGGAGCGAACAGGAUUAGAUACCCCUGUAGUCC
rnacentral:rRNA from 1 species